UUUUUUUCUUUUUUGCGACAUUUUAAAAGUUUGCUUUAAAUUCGAUUGACAAUUAGAUGGAAACAUGUCUACUAAAGUCCUGAC